rnacentral:rRNA from 1 species
UUUAUGGAGAGUUUGAUCCUGGCUCAGAGUGAACGCUGGCGGCGUGCCUAAUACAUGCAAGUCGAACGAUGAAGCUUCUAGCUUGCUAGAAUGCUGAUUAGUGGCGCACGGGUGAGUAACGCAUAGGUUAUGUGCCUUUUAGUUUGGGAUAGCCAUUGGAAACGAUGAUUAAUACCAGAUACUCCCUACGGGGGAAAGAUUUAUCGCUAAGAGAUCAGCCUAUGUCCUAUCAGCUUGUUGGUAAGGUAAUGGCUUACCAAGGCUAUGACGGGUAUCCGGCCUGAGAGGGUGAACGGACACACUGGAACUGAGACACGGUCCAGACUCCUACGGGAGGCAGCAGUAGGGAAUAUUGCUCAAUGGGGGAAACCCUGAAGCAGCAACGCCGCGUGGAGGAUGAAGGUUUUAGGAUUGUAAACUCCUUUUGUUAGAGAAGAUAAUGACGGUAUCUAACGAAUAAGCACCGGCUAACUCCGUGCCAGCAGCCGCGGUAAUACGGAGGGUGCAAGCGUUACUCGGAAUCACUGGGCGUAAAGAGCGCGUAGGCGGGAUAGUCAGUCAGGUGUGAAAUCCUAUGGCUUAACCAUAGAACUGCAUUUGAAACUACUAUUCUAGAGUGUGGGAGAGGUAGGUGGAAUUCUUGGUGUAGGGGUAAAAUCCGUAGAGAUCAAGAGGAAUACUCAUUGCGAAGGCGACCUGCUGGAACAUUACUGACGCUGAUUGCGCGAAAGCGUGGGGAGCAAACAGGAUUAGAUACCCUGGUAGUCCACGCCCUAAACGAUGGAUGCUAGUUGUUGGAGGGCUUAGUCUCUCCAGUAAUGCAGCUAACGCAUUAAGCAUCCCGCCUGGGGAGUACGGUCGCAAGAUUAAAACUCAAAGGAAUAGACGGGGACCCGCACAAGCGGUGGAGCAUGUGGUUUAAUUCGAAGAUACACGAAGAACCUUACCUAGGCUUGACAUUGAGAGAAUCCGCUAGAAAUAGUGGAGUGUUUGGCUUGCCAGACCUUGAAAACAGGUGCUGCACGGCUGUCGUCAGCUCGUGUCGUGAGAUGUUGGGUUAAGUCCCGCAACGAGCGCAACCCCCUUUCUUAGUUGCUAACAGGUUAUGCUGAGAACUCUAAGGAUACUGCCUCCGUAAGGAGGAGGAAGGUGGGGACGACGUCAAGUCAUCAUGGCCCUUACGCCUAGGGCUACACACGUGCUACAAUGGGGUGCACAAAGAGAAGCAAUACUGCGAAGUGGAGCCAAUCUUCAAAACACCUCUCAGUUCGGAUUGUAGGCUGCAACUCGCCUGCAUGAAGCUGGAAUCGCUAGUAAUCGCAAAUCAGCCAUGUUGCGGUGAAUACGUUCCCGGGUCUUGUACUCACCGCCCGUCACACCAUGGGAGUUGUGUUUGCCUUAAGUCAGGAUGCUAAAUCGGCUACUGCCCACGGCACACACAGCGACUGGGGUGAAGUCGUAACAAGGUAACCGUAGGUGAACCUGCGGUUGGAUCACCUCCUUU